AUGUGUGUGUGAGUGUGUGUGUGUGUGUGUGUGUGUGUGUGUGUGUGUGUGUGUGUGAGAGCAUGAAGCUGGAUCCCUUGGUCAGACUUUGCCGACAGCCAGGCCC